CAUGUGACAACAUUCGAAAGAGGAAAGCAACUGAGAGGUAGUGCUGAAGCCUAGAAGAGUCUAUCUGGUUGUCCUUCUCUGCCUCAUUGCUAGCUGCUGCUCAAAUUGGCACCAGAAAUAGCAUGUUUUGGUAAUCUAAUAUCCAACAGUAUAUGUGUGGCACUUAGUUAACAACUUGACAUCAUAUAUAAAAUAAGCUGUAAAUAUUUAGUUAACCACUCGCGAGUGUGGAAUAGUAUACUCCUCUCCUGGCGAAGAGCUAUAUCAUUUCAUACACAAGGAGCUUUAUAAUAGUCUUCUAGGUUUCGUUCAUUGGACUGUAUUAUCAGAACUCAAAAGCGACUAAUAAUAUCUCUUUAUCAGAAAUCGGAAAUGGAGCUGAAGUUAGAAGAGAAGAAACGACUAGUAGCUGAAACUGGACGAGUUAUUGAUUUCUGCUAAAAAAAACAAUCUUCAGUACGUCAAAUGCGGCUGACUAAGUUACAUAAAGGUCUCUAGGAAGUAAAGGAGUAUGGUGAAAGACUGAAAAGUUCUUAAGAGAAACUCCAGGUCAGUUCUCAAGUCUUUUAGUCAUAUAUCUAAGCUACAGUAUCAGUAACUUUUUUAUGCGUGCUUCAUACUAAAACAUACCUGAUAAUCUGACUAAAAAGAGUAUCGACUUUGUUCCUUUAGAAAGUAUAAUCUAAAAAAAAUUUCUGGGUUUGCUUGAAUUUUUUAUCUAUUUUGAAUCAUGUAACAUAGCAUUUUUGGGUUCUUUCUUGUCUCCACAUAAUUCCCCCCCCCCCCUCACAUGACCAAUUCAAGCUCAUAUAUGAAGCUCGCGCCCCUGUGGAUAUGCUGAUAUCCAUGAAGAAGCUAUUCAUUAUCUCUAGAGUACCUUCUUGGUCUUCAGUGUAUUUAACAAAUAAGUGACGACCUUGUAGUCCACAAUGAUUUUGUUAGCAACCGUGAAGCUAGGAACCUGCAAUCUAGUAGACACCAGUACAUUGUGGCAUUUUGUGAUUUAGAUUCACCAUUACAUUGUGGAAUUAUGUGACUUAGAUUCACCAUUUACUUUAUUGUGGAAUUUAUGGAAGAUUAGCCAUGAAAUUAGAUUCUUUUAUCUAGAUUCUCAAUGUGUACUUUGAUUCAUAUGCUAAGUACCCGGACUAGGUUUACUUUCUUUGCUAAGAACUUCCCUUCAUCACAAAUCCUAUGAAGUUAAGAGUUUGUUGAACUUCCUUAUAUCAUGUAUUACACUUUGUAAUUGGUU